CUUCCUCACUGUUCAAUUUUGGUAUUCAAUGCUACAGCAUCUUUUCAGCCUUACACAAGUUUAGCAAUUUCUUUGUGAUUAUGGAUCAUUAAAAGCAGUGUUCAUUCAUAAAAAAUAAGCACUUAACAUUUUGCAAUCUCUAAAUAUACUUCAGUGAAAUAUACAGCAUCCUUUUUGGCCCCCAAAGACUAUAAAAGCAUCUUCACUCACAGAUAUUUAAAAGAAGGGCUAAAAAUAUUCAAGAAAAUUACAGUGCUUUAAGUGUUAAAAAGUAAAACACAUUUCAGCAUGCAAACGAACAAGAGUUUCACUCCAAAAUGCUUCGCUCCUGUGUCAAGGGACAUAAACACAUGGUGUGAACAAGUGGCAAUGUUUAGGGAAAUACUGCAAAACUAAAUCUUUUCCAUGUAGGCCAAAAUGACUUAUCAGCCAAGCUACUGGAUCAGGCAACUAUUUUUCUAUAUCAUAUUUUUAUGAAUGUGAGGAACUUAUAAACUCAAGGGCAGAACAAAUGCAGACACUAGCACUUAACCUAGGCAAACAGAAACAUGGAAGGAAGCAUCAUGGGAGGUGAAUAGGUUAGGCUUUCUUUCUUCUGUCAUCCCCUUACCAUUUGGAUGUUUCCAUCCUCCAUUCUGAGAAAUUAUGUGUUCCCCUGCAAUGAAGGGAGGUUUCGUCUCCUUUCAGCUAUCACAUUCACCUCGUUCAGAAGGUUUGCUUUGCCCAAAUCCUUUGACAGGGAGUGAGUGAAAUCUCAGCCCCAUUGAAGUCAGUGGGAAAUUUGCCAUUCACUAUAAGGGAGCCAGGAUUUUGCACAACGUUUAUAUCAGUAGAAGACCAGACUGAAUCUAGUGCAGUGUUUGUGAAGUGCUUUGAAGUAGAGAGUGUUACAGCACUGAAAUUAUUGCUAUUAUUAUUAUUGCUGCUUAGUGCACGACAGAGAAGAAAGGAAGAAAACCUCUGAAUGAACUGGAAGGAAAUACUGAUUCUGCAGAUCUUAGAGAUUCCUCAUGUUUCCAGUUUUGUCUGAGAGGCCUGUAGGUUAGCACACAGGAGAUUAACCUUGGCAAGCUGCACCACUGGGCUGACUGAGGAGGAAUUCUCACUGCAGCUGUCUGAACCAACAACACAUAAGGUCUGGGGCUGAGGAAGUUCUCAUCAGACAGAAGGUAACAGCAACACUAGUGUAAAUAACUUCCAAAUACAAACCUUUGUAAAACUAGAAGUUUUUUUUUUUUUUCUUUUGCCAAGGCUCACUAGCACUGCAGUGAAAUGAUAGAUGUCUGAGAAAUUCCAAAAUAAGUGACUAGGAUAUUAAGAAUUGACAUUAAUUAAACAGGACAAAUUCCCAUCAUGUGAAGCAUCUUCUUAGACAGUAAACAGCGCUAGAACAUGCCCAUCCAUGCUAAUGGAG
ensembl:lncRNA